CGUCUAUAUACGUAUAGCAUAUCAAUAAGCGGAGGAAAAGAAACUAACAAGGAUUCCCUUAGUAACGGCGAGUGAAGCGGGAAGAGCUCAAAUUUGAAAUCUUCAAGGUUUUACCUUGACGAAUUGUAGUUUAAAGAAGUGUUUUCUGUUGGAGUUUUGGUAAAAGUUCUUUGGAAUAGGACAUCAUAGAGGGUGAGAAUCCCGUAUUUGACCAUUAUUUCCAGCUUUGUGAUACACUUUCAAAGAGUCGGAUUGUUUGGGAAUGCAGUCCAAAAUGGGUGGUAAAUUUCAUCUAAAGCUAAAUAUUGGCGAGAGACCGAUAGCGAACAAGUACCGUGAGGGAAAGAUGAAAAGAACUUUGAAAAGAGAGUUAAACAGUACGUGAAAUUGUCAAAAGGGAAGCGUUUGACACCAGUGUUGUUUUUCCGAAAAUCAAUUACGAAUGCUUAUGUUUAGAGUUAUGACUUCAUCGGCUUGCUUCUUAGUUUAUGAACUUUCUUGAAUGCACUUUUCGGUUAACAAGUCAACAUCAAUUUCUUUUGCUGUAAAAGGGUAUGAGGAAGGUGGCUUUCAUUUCGGAGAAAGUGUUUAUAGCCUUGUACCUCUGCAAUCGGAGAGAUUGAGGUCUGCAGCGUAGAUCCUUCGGGGUUAGAUACAUUUGUGCUAAGUUAUAGCUUUUCAUAGACAACUUGUUGACUAUGUUUAGUCUUGUAGCUUACUCGCUUAUGCUAUUUUACCUACGCUUAGGAUGUUGAUAUGCAUGACUGAUAU
rnacentral:rRNA from 1 species